UGCUGUGCCCUCUGCACGCUCCCGUGACCUCACACUGCCUCUCCCGCCUCACACAGCGACACCCUCGCUGCCCUCUGUCGCUCCCUCCCUGCUUUCUUUCCUCCAGAACAAACUACAGCCUUUGGGGAAACCAGAGUUUGCUUGCGUCUUGUAUCAUCUUCCUCCCAGACAUUCUGGGCCAUUUUAAACAAAGGAAAGCCCCCAGGCCCUUGGAGAACUCACGUUUGGUCACAAGGAAGACAGACAAGAAACCAAGAAGUGACUCACAGGAAAGGGGAUUGAAAAUACUGGCAAGUACUUGGAAGGAAAGAACACGGGCGGUCAGAACAGGGACUGGGAGGGGUGGUCAGGGAGGGCUUCUUGGAGGAAGAGACAAUUGAGCAGAGACGUGAGGGAUGACGAUGUGUCAGUUACGAGAGGACCCCAAGGAAGAGUGUUCCAGGCAGUGGGAACAGGCAGUGAAAAGGCCCUGAGGUGGGAAAACUGAGGCACGGAGACACAAAGCCAUGGGCCAAGGUGGGCAGCCAGCAAAUGGCAGAGGACUCGAAGCCGGGCUCCCAGGACCAGCACCACGCAAUGGUUUAAGAGGAGGUUGGAUGAAGAGACAGUUGAUGGAGGAACAGGUCGCUUGAGGAGUGGAGGGUGGAAGGGUGGGGGAGGGAGGGACCAGUGGACGGACGGAAAGGACAGGUGAAAAUGGAUUGAUAUGUGGGUGGGCGGAUGGACCCACGGAGGGCUUAAGCGGAUGAGGCUCAGAAGCGAACGGCCC